rnacentral:rRNA from 1 species
GAUCCUGGCUCAGAUUGAACGCUGGCGGCAGGCUUAACACAUGCAAGUCGAACGGUAACAUAAAGAAGCUUGCUUCUUUGAUGACGAGUGGCGGACGGGUGAGUAAUGCUUGGAAAUCUAGCUUAUGGAGGGGGAUAACUACGGGAAACUGUAGCUAAUACCGCGUAGAAUCGAUAGAUGAAAGUGUGGGACCUUCGGGCCACAUGCCAUAGGAUGAGCCCAAGUGGGAUUAGGUAGUUGG